AGUCCAUAUGCAACUAUUAGUAAACAUGUAGUUUCAAGUAUAAAGAAAAAAACUAAAACUAUAUAACAUAAGGAAAACAAAACAUAUUGCUGCUUUUAGCCCGUAGAACAGAGAACAUUUCAACAUUGCAAGAUGUAAACAUGCACAGUAGUACAGAUUUGAACUGUUUCCCUUCCUCUCUGUACUCCUCACUCAGCUGCUUCCUGGAUUCAGGAGGAAAGGGUCUAAAACAAAUACACAAUAUUCAGAACAAACAAGUCACCAGCCCUCUCUUUGACAUUCAAAGCAUGGGACGACUGACUGCGAUAUGUCUUAGUCGUUUUGUUGUUGUUAUAUGAUAUGUUCUUUUCUGUUUGUUAAAACAGGACCUUGAAACAACACAACACAUCACCUCAUUUUAUUCCCAAAACCUGGGGAGAGGAAACAAAAUCUUGCACAAUUGCUCAUUAAAAUAAACAUUUUAUUAUUUCAUUUUAAUAAUGGUAGAAUUGUUAUUCAAAUUGACCAACGGACCAGAACCUACCUUCAGUCAGCUAAUUAGACUGACCUAUAGAAGUAGUUGACAAAUAUGUGAAAAUAAAUACAACUUAAAAGAAACAUUUGUUUGGUUGUGACGUAGCGCCACUACCAACCAAUACUUGUGAAGUAAUACGUUCAGGAUAGAAUCCCCAAAGUUCAUGUUGACACUUCCACUAGGCUGAUAAAUUAUCUAAAUUAAGAACAUUUAAUGAUUGAUCGUGAAGAAAUGUGUCUUGCAUAUCUUUCUUUGAAAGAAUUUGCCACUUUCUUAUAGUGGUAAUUGGAUAUAAAUAUUGAUAUAAUUGUUUAAAAGCUAUGCUUAAAACAUAGAUUUUUUUUUGUUUGUGUACAUCAAGUGUACAUUUGGAAGACCAUGGCUAUAUCCAAUCCCAGCCAAAAUUGUAGCACUCAAAUUUAGCAUGUGUCUUUUUAUUCAUUUAUUGAGCAUUUAUUGAUAAAAAAGAAAAGAAAAGGCAAUUGGCAUUGAGUUUGUCCUCCCUGGGUUUCUAUGAGCUAAUCUGAAUUCUAGCACUUUCAAUCUUUUUUAAAAAAGAGAGUUUUUUUUCUUUUAAAAUUUCAGCUUAUAUGUUCCUAUGUUUUUAAUUUUGUAUUUGAUCCUGUGUAUGUAUGUGCCAUUAGUUUGAUGUGUAGAUUUGAUCAAUCUUUGUGUAUUUUUCUCCUCCAAAAGAAACUAUUUUUUUUUAUAGACUUUUCACUAAUACCUUCUUUCAUGUGCCCCCACUCCCCUCUCAGGCCUGUUGGGUAACCAGCAUUGGCUUCUCUAUUGGAAUUUUAUAUGAUUAACACAACAACAACAACAACAACAUAUUCUACAACCAAGUAUUUGUAACAGAGAUUUGUAAUCCAAUUGCCUUUCAGAGAGCAUGGUGAGCAUGACAUCAUAUCCACAAUCUACCAGAUCGACCUCUUCAAGGUCAAAAAGACUAGGUCCUGUUUUUUGACAGAUGUGACAUAGUUCCAUUUAACAGAACAUUAUCUGGGGAACCCAGUUUUUAAAGCACUUUUUAUUUUGCAACCAUAACAACUGUCUGACGCAUGAUAAAUAAAGCUGAAAUAAAUUUAAAAAAUGUCGGAAAAGGCUUGUAGUACUGCCUAGUGCUACUGAAUACAUGUUGCCUCUAGACAGGAAAAGGCUUGUACCUCAGCCUAGUAGCUACUGAAUACAUGUUGCCUCUAGACAGGAAAAGGCUUGUACCUCAGCCUAGUAGCUACUG
rnacentral:lncRNA from 1 species